rnacentral:rRNA from 1 species
AACGAACGCUGGCGGCAUGCCUAACACAUGCAAGUCGAACGAGACCUUCGGGUCUAGUGGCGCACGGGUGCGUAACGCGUGGGAACCUGCCCUUAGGUUCGGAAUAACUCCCCGAAAGGGGUGCUAAUACCGGAUAAUGUCUUCGGACCAAAGAUUUAUCGCCUUUGGAUGGGCCCGCGUUGGAUUAGCGAGUUGGUAGGGUAAAAGCCUACCAAGGCGACGAUCCAUAGCUGGUCUGAGAGGAUGAUCAGCCACACUGGGACUGAGACACGGCCCAGACUCGGACGGGAGGGAGCAGUGGGGAAUAUUGGACAAUGGGCGAAAGCCUGAUCAAGCAAUGCCGGGUGAGUGAGGAAGGCCGUAGGGUUGUAAAGCUCUUUUACCCGGGAUGAUAAUGACAGUACCGGGAGAAUAAGCGCCGGCUAACUCCGUG